rnacentral:rRNA from 1 species
CACGUAGGGCGCAAGCGUUGUCCGGAAUUAUUGGGCGUAAAGAGCUCGUAGGUGGUUUGUUACGUCUGCUGUGAAAACCUAGGGCUUAACCCUGGGCUUGCAGUGGAUACGGGCAGACUAGAGGUAGGUAGGGGAGAAUGGAAUUCCUGGUGUAGCGGUGAAAUGCGCAGAUAUCGGGAGGAACACCGGUGGCGAAGGCGGUUCUCUGGGCCUUACCUGACACUGAGGAGCGAAAGCGUGGGGAGCGAACAGG